AGAAGAAUUGGCCUACUCAGG
rnacentral:miRNA from 1 species